rnacentral:piRNA from 1 species
UGGGAAAAGUGCUCCCCCUGGAAGAGUCA